CUGAGGCAGGAACAUCACCUUCUUCAGUGCUACUGUGUACUCCCCUGGAUACCCCCCAGCCUACGCUAGCUCCCAGGACUGCAUCUGGCUGAUCCCCGUGCCCAUCAGUCAUGGCGUCCUGCUCAACCUCAGCCUGCUGCAGACAGCCUUCUGGAGACUUCAUCGCCAUCUGCCCUUAAGGCAGCCUGCCUCAGGCCCCUCUGCCCGGCUUCAUCCUGGUCCAGAUGAGCACCACACUAGGCGGCUCCAUCCAUUUCAGUUGCAACGCUGGCUACCGCGUGGUGGGACACAGCAUGGCCAUUUGCACCUGGCACCCCCCAGCGCUACCACCUGUGGAGCGAAGCCAUUCCUCUCUGCCAAGACUUUGAAGACGGAGGGAAAAACAAGUUUUUAAACACCUUACAUCCUGAAGGUGCUCAAGAAGUCUAGAAAUUCCAAAUGGCACGAGAAACACACAUCACCCAAGACUCAUGUCCUCACCUUAAAAUUAAUAAAUCCUGACAUUUUUGGAGGGAAGGCCAAGGGGGAGGGGUGCCAUGGGAAACUGGGAUUCCUGGAAGUGGGUACAUCUACAUCAUAACAGCCAGUCUAAGAGGACCUGGAAGCCCCUUGUUCACACCUUUAAAGCAAUGACAUGAAUAUUUAAAGCUGGGCUUAACCGUUUCUGUCCUGGGCAUUUCUCCCUCCUCCUAAGCCAGUGCACGCCGGGGCGGGGGCCAAGCAGAACCAUGGGCAGCCCCAUACCUACCUCCCAAGUCCUGAGCCCCGGAAGUGCGCAGCAGGGUGGGCUCAGGGGCUGGGCCUGCUCCUGGAAGCCUGUGUUGCCUGGGGUAGGGGGGAGGUGGGGGCAGCGUAGUGUACCAGUGCAAUGCUGGCUUCUACCUCAUUGGCAUGUCGGUGCAUCUGCCAGCAGGAUCACCACUGGUCUGGCAAGACCCCUCUCUGUGUGUGUAAGUAUGUUGCCUGCUCUCCCUCACCGUGGAGCUGGGUUCAGCACGUGCUCCCCCCUUAUCUUGUGAUCCCGUUACCGAGGGGCUUUUAUAGAUUUAUUCAUUUUUUCCCAAAUACGUAAUCAUUCCAUGCAUCAUUUUCAGCUCUCUGCAUCAGUAAUUGCAGCUUUUAUUUACUUCCUCCUUGUGAAUUCUUUCAGAUGACUUUUAAGUUCAUUUUCUAGUUUUUGAGUUAAGAAUUUAAGUGGUUCUCAUUCUUUAAAGAUUGUAUUGGUUUUAUCAAUAAAGGUGUUAAGACAAUCACAUUUUUUCUGAUCGCUGCUUUAACUGUAUCCCAUGGCUCCUAAUAAUGGUUAUUUAUUAGAAAUUCUGUAAUUUUACUACUACAGUCCCUUUUUGAAGGACCCUUAUGGGGGAGAGGGACAAGAAACUAGGCCUGGGCAAAUAUCAGGGGCUUCUUAAGAGGUUAGAUGUUCCCCAGAGUCUAGCGGGCAGGACGUUCUCUGGGAAGGAAAAGUCAAUCCCCUUCAGAGAACCUCUAGGCACGCCCAGAGCAGAACUGCCCCUCCCCUCCAGGAAACCUCUGGGCGCGCCCAGAGCAGAGCUGCCCCUCCCUUCGGAGGGUCUCUAGGCGCACACUUAUGAUGUCACUGCGACCGGCCAAUCCUGUAACACCUCAGCACUCUCGCUUAGCACUCUCCCUCAGCAUUCUCCGGUAUGCUAAUUGUCCCUCCGAACCAACCAAUCCCGUGCCACCUCUGCAUUUUAUACCAGCACUCUCCACCAGCAUUCUUCGCCAGCAUUCUCCCAUAUGCUAACGGUCCCUCUGAACUGACCAAUCCUAUGCAUGCGUUAGGAAUAUGCUAAUUCGUUGCCUAUAUAACCUGUGUGAAACUGCCGCUCA